GACGAACGCUGGCGGCGUGCUUAACACAUGCAAGUCGAGCGGUAAGGCCCUUUCGGGGGUACACGAGCGGCGAACGGGUGAGUAACACGUGGGUGACCUGCCCUCAGCUCUGGGAUAAGCCCGGGAAACUGGGUCUAAUACCGGAUAUGACUCCAUGACGCAUGUUGUGGGGUGGAAAGCCUUGUGCGGCUGAGGAUGGGCCCGCGGCCUAUCAGCUUGUUGGUGGGGUGAUGGCCACCAAGGCGACGACGGGUAGCCGGCCUGAGAGGGCGACCGGCCACACUGGGACUGAGAUACGGCCCAGACUCCUACGGGAGGCAGCAGUCGGGAAUUUUGGGCAAUGGGCGAAAGCCUGACCCAGCAACGCCGCGUGAAGGAUGAAGUAUUUCGGUAUGUAAACUUACGAAAGAAUAGGAAGAAUCAAUGACGGUACUAUUUAUAAGGUCCGGCUAACUACGUGCCAGCCGCCGC
rnacentral:rRNA from 1 species